rnacentral:lncRNA from 1 species
UUAAAUCGACUCUAACUUCCACUAAUGGUCCGAAUGGGGAUGUGGAGUCUCGUUGGAACCUAUGACACAUAGUAGCAUCACAAAUCAACUCAAUUCACAUAACCAUAAUUCUAAAAACUAUUUCCUAAAUCAUGUUCUACUAUUUAUUCCUAGCUAGCUUCUAACUACCAUUAAGUGGCUAUCUAUUUUCACUAUUCUAGUCACACUAAAAUGAAUAAACUACCUUAACUACAAAAAACUCACAAAUCUAACGACUAGCCAUUCUCAACAACUUAAAAAUCAACUCAAUUUCAUUACUCACCUUGGUAGCUUUGUAAUUGAACUCCUUCUCAAAAGUCCUCAAGCUAGUAUAGGAAGUCUCUCUUUCUCUCUCUAAACAUCUAGCUAGUGAGAGGAAGUAUCAAAAUAAGACUUUUGAGGGUUUUCAAGGUGAAAGAGUAAAAGAGCACAAAGGACUUUGUGAAAAGGUGCACAAAAGCAUGAAAAUUGGGGUUAACUUGAGAAAAUUUAUGGAGGUUUCAAAGCAAGCUUCCAUGAAAGGU